UAGUCGGUGUUUGCGUACUUUUGGAGCUACAGUAACCCAGAAAUUUCGAAAAUUGAGCUAAAAA
ensembl:ncRNA F56B3.13 ncRNA